UGGAGGAGGGAGAUGAAGAUGGAGGAGGGGAGAGAGGGACGUUUGGGAUGCUGGACUUGGAAUCGAAGAACAAUAAUGCAAACUAGUACAGGAAUGAAAACGAACAAAAAAAAAAAAAAAAAAAAAAAAGUUUUUCUCUGCAAACCAAAAUCAGGGUCUCAAGAAAAAAUAUUCUAGCUCUUAAAAAUUACGUUUUAUUAUUAUGAUUUUUUUUUACACUAGCUUUGAAAUGCAAAAUGGCUGCCCGACAAGGCGCGGUCUUGGGAGCAAGGGGACACAGAUCAGCCUGGACCACUGCAGCGCUGGGGAAACUACGCUUCAAUUCAGAGGCAUUUAGAAAUGCUCAAGUCGGGGAGAACAAGUCGACAAGUUCAGGCAAAAAUUGACGCUAUAUUCAGGGGGCAGUGCUGAGACAGAACUCAUUAAAAUGCACAGAAUGGGGUGUGAUUUGCACGACCCUCGCUCUGUAAAUAUGGGUAAAGGUUUAAAAAAAAAAAAAAAAAAGGUAACUGUUGAGUCUAAACUUGUAUUCAGGGGCUUUUCUGUUAGUUGUGGUGGGAAAUGUGGAGAGGGAGGUCUUUAGAAGCACUACCUUUGGCCUGCCACUAGAGGGCGGCAAAGCCAUUCCUUGAGCCCUCCCUCAUUCAUUUACCAGCCCACUACUUCUGUGGUUGUUGUUGUUGUUUUUUUAAAUUUCCCUUUUUUUUUUCUUAAAUUAUUUUUUGCUUUUUUGCAUUAACUGCUUUUGGUACUUGACACUUUAAAUAUGUGUGUGUGUGUGUGUGUGUGUGUGUGUGUGUGUGUGUGUGUGCGCGCGCGCGCGCGCGUGUGCAUACGUGUCUAUCAGUUUGAGAAAAUCUUCAGUUUUGGUGUGUGCGACCCCUGAUGGUGAUCAUGUGGAAUGAAGGGUUUUGGUUUUAUACCAAAGUUUCUCAUGACCUGCUGCCUUUACAAUGGUGGGUAUCGGGGCCAUUGAAGUUUAAAGCAUUAAAUAUAUAUAUUUUUCAUAUAAAUCAGAGAAGCAGCUUGUGGAGAAUGUUCCGUUAACAGGGGGCGGUACGUACGAGUGAAUUAAUUUGUAUCGUGUUUAUUCUCAAUGAUAGACAUACAUACUGUUUAUUGCACCGGGGUGAACGGUUCUAACCCAGAAUAAGCCUCAUUUUAUAAAGAAUAUUCAGCCAGUAUUCACAUGUAUAACCUCUGGAAGCACAACUGCUCUGGAGUUGCAGUACUUGAAGUGUAUUUUAUUAUUUUUUAGACUACAAAUCCCAGAAUGCCCCUUUACCUGCCAUUGCGAAGCAGACGGGUUAUGAACUGUCUGUACGUAUUUAGAAUAUCACGAAUCGCGCAGCAGACUGCCCUGGCCAGUCUCGAACAUAUGCUAAAACUGAAAUAAUAUCAAAAGCCCCUGGGAAGUGAACUAUUAUGCUGCCUUAGGGCUUUAAAUUUGUUUUAAAAAAGGCCAAUCUAAUUGAGCGCGGGAAUUCCAGGUGGGGUAGUUGAGCUUCUCCACACUGUCAGUUGCACAGAAGAAGGCAAAUCAAUCACUAAUUUAUUUUUGUAAUUAUUUAAUAUGAGCUUGAAAAGCACCUCUUUAUCAAAGAAAUAUUUUACUUAUUGAGAAUAUAUCAUAUUUGGGGGAAUGUAUUUAAAAAGACGGGUAUAUUUAUGAGGCUACGCAGUGAGAAAGGCAGGGGAAGAGGGUUUUGACCCCCAGGGCUCUGAGCUUUAACAGGGCGACAGUGACUGCACUGUGUGUCUCAAAGGGAGGUCCUGACAAGGACCCAGAACCAGCUGCAUGCUGGGAUAGGGGUGGGGAUCUGGUUUGAAGGGGAGUGUAGUGCUGUUCUGCCACAUUCCAAAACAUGUUUCAGGUUCUUUGGAAAUAUUUAUAGUUUCGCUUCACUAGAAAAUAAAUGAUAUCCCUUCCUCCCGAGGCCAAAACAGGGAUGUUUUCUAGAUUCUCCUGACUCUAGAAAUGCAAAUAGAUCCACGCACAAUUCUCCGUUGUACCCAAGCUAUCGAAUGUACAGCCGCCCGGCGCGAGGACCCCGUGUCUCCGUUUUUUGUUUUUUUGUUUUUACCGCUCAGUUCAGGCUCCUGACCGCAGGCGCGUUUAAAAAAAAAAAAGCGAAGCGUGUCAAACUCGCCCAGACACAUCGCGAAUCUCACUCUGCUCCAGCUGAAUAAAACACCGUCUCCGAAUCCCCCAGUGCUUUGAAGCAGGACUGUUGUUUAACGGACAAAUCUGGGAGAAGGGGCGCCUUUAUGUACAUCUAGGAAUUCCGUCACCGUGCUUGUUGACUCCCAAUAGCUUGACCCCGUGCAUACUGAUGCCAUGGUGAUAUGAUCACGCCUGUAGCUUAUUUAUGCGCGCAAUACUCCGCACUAAAGCUGGGUCGUGGGUUCAAGUCGCUGUCCAAGUGGGUUUUGUAAAGGGAGGGUGAACACACCUGGCUCCCAGGUAAAGGGAUGGUGAACACACCUGGCUCCCAGGUAAAGGGAGGGUGAACACACCUGGCUCCCAGGUAAAGGGAGGGUGAACACACCUGACUCCCAGGUAAAGGGAGGGUGGAGAAGCAGCAGUCUUUGGCCCUGGAGGACCGUGAUGUGAUGAACAGGGCAUUGGGGCUCUGAUUUUAGCAGGACUCGAGAUCAGUCUAGAGCAGAGCAGGGAUGUGGGGUUUUGUGUCCACAAAGUCCUCAAUUCGCUAAAAAGCUGUGUGUACACUAGCUUACUUGAAUGCCGUUUCUUGAUUUCCGGCCAAAUUUGUCCUUUUAUUUAUUACCCAAUAAUUCACCUAAUCCGACAUUAUACCUGAACUUAUUGAUGUGCUCAGGAAUGACAGAGCUUGUUGAUUUCUGUGCAGAACAUUUUACUGUGUUACUAAAAGGCCCUCUAUGCCUUCCUCUGGGGGAAGUGAUAUUUUCCCGCGCUGAUGGGAAUUGGGAGCCAUGGCAACGGGGAAUUAUUGUGGAGCGCUGGAGAGAAGGGCUUUAGCUGAGACAGCGGGAAUUUGCACUAAAAUAUGGCUCUUUCAUAGAUGGGGCAGCUUCACGCAAAGCCAUUGAGAUUCUUUUGCACAGAGAGUGCAGUUUACCCAGCCGACCACCAGGGGGAGACAGAACGAGAAUGUAGCAGUUCUAAACCUCACACUCUCUCAAAUCCGCUGUGGUGGUCUCUUUGUCUGUGGUAGUAACUCACACACAAUAACUCCACAGGCUCUGAUGUUUGAUGCCAGGGGUCCAUCAGGGGUCUGAGAGGGGGGGGGGCUGAGGUUAUCCCAAAGCUUGGAUUCAAAGAAGAAGAAUGUGCCUUAUGUAGGUUAAGUCCCCCAGACCCUCAGUUUUUUGGUUCCCCAAAUAUUCCAAAGUGUAAUGAUGUAAGUGGGCAGUGGAGAGUGUGUGUGUGUGUGUGUGUGUGUGUCUGCAUGUCUGUGUGUGUGUGAGGGUGUGUGUGUGUGUGUGUGUGUGAGUGAGUGCAGGAGUGCUGUUCCUGCAGGAGGGAUGUAGCCACAACAAAACCAACCCAUCCACCGCUCUGUGUUUUGUGGUCCUGUGCGUGUGAGGAAAAAACAGCUUAAAACAGAGCAAAGUGUGCGCUUUCUGCAUGUAAAACCAUGUCAAAAGAUGUACCCUAGAAUUGUACCGUACGGAAUGAAAUGUCUCGUGGUUGAAUACAUCGUUUGGAACGAGACUGGGCGACUCUGUCUACUCUGGUGCGCUUCACCCAAACAGACCUGCCCACAUGCAUACUUUAAAAUAUUUAAGAAAAUAAUUAUUUUUGGGAAUGAAUGUAUAACAGCAAAAUGUGUACUGGGGUGUGUGUGUGUGUGUGUGUGUGUGUGUGUGUGUGUGUGUGUGUGUGUGUGUGUGUGUGUGUGUGUGUGUGUGUGUGUGUGUGUGUGUGUGUGUGUGUGUGUGUGUGUGUGUGUGUGUGUGUGUGUGUGUGUGUGUGUGUGUGUGUGCGCAAAUGGAGUUGUGUUUACCUACAAGGCAGGGUAUGUUGUCGAAGUGUGAAACACAUUUAUGUAAAAGGUAAUAGUUUUUGGGGGUCCAAAUUCUGCAGUUCCUUUGUCAGUUUGCACUAAAGAGUCCUCUCACCUUGAUUGGUGGAUUGGGGUCAGAUGAUUUGCACUAAUCAGGGAGGGCGGGCAGGUGGGUGUGGUCUUCUGGGACCCAAUGGCUGUGGUUGCUGAUGGGGGAGGAGGAGGGCGAUGGGUACAAGUGUUGGAAAGGUCGCUGAAGGUCACUGUCUAACCCUGCCCUGUCAACUCCCAGACCUCUAAUAUUUUGGUCCCAGAGUUCCACCCUUCCCUAACUUUUCAGUGGUACAAGAAACCUGUGUCACUCUUUCUCCCUCUCCCUCCCUCUCCUACUCUUUUUUCACCCUCUCUCUUUCUCUCUCCCUCUCUCUCCCCCCUCCCUCUGCCUCUCCCAGCCUGUUUCAGCUCCUGGCAGCCAAUCACAGCUGACACAUUCCUAAAAUUCUCCAUUUCCUCAUUGGAGCUUGUGUUGGGAAAAGGGAAAACUGUUAUGGCAGACCUGCAGGGGGCGGGGCCUGUGCUGUUUGACGUCAAUCUUUGUGGUGGGAGGGGUUCCAGGGGAGAGGCCUUCCAGAAAUGUUUAGUCUCCUCUUUUUGUUUUUUGUUUUUUUUAAAUACUGCUGUUAAUUUUCGUUGCUGUUCUUAUUUUGAUAGUUCCAUUACGGAUAUUGUUGUUGUUGUUGUUAUUUAAAGGCAAAGAAACUACACGAGAACGUGAAAAACUUGAAUAUUUUGUUUGUGUUUUUGGGUUUUUGGGAUGCAGUUUAGUCAGCGCCGCAAAUCUGCACAUAGCGACAAGCACCUGUUUCGACCGGCCGUCUUUCGGCAUGCAAACUCUGACCGCCAGUGACGCGCAACGCAGACUCUCCGAGCGAACCUCCAUUCUGAACAUAACGCCGGGCUUUCCGCGCGUUUAAGAGUAAAUACCUGAGAACGGGACGAGCUUCGACCAACUGCAGCUCAGCUGUGCUGUUGCUGGUGACGUCACGGCACUCGUCGAAACGCUCGGUACAUCAGAAGGCUCUCGCGACUCAGGCCGCAGCAUACGUUUAUCCUCUGUGACUGUUCAGGACGAAGGAGUGACGCUCGAGACCCGCGUGUUCAUGUGGGACCGCUAAAUGAUGUGUUAUUUACAUUCCCCCCCCCCUCCCCUUUUUUUUUUUUUCUUAAAAUUUCUGAAAUAGAUUCUGGCAUCGCUCUCGCAAGUUGAAAAAAUCUUUAUAUAAAAAGGAAAUUAAUUGUG